rnacentral:misc_RNA from 1 species
UCCUGGUUAACCCAGGCAGUCUCGUUAGAGUUCCCGACUUGACUCGUUGGCAACUAACGAUAAGGGUUGCGCUCGUUGCGGGACUUAACCCAACACCUCACGGCACGAGCUGACGACAGCCAUGCAGCACCUAUAUAGAGACCCUUUCGGGAUAUGUCAUUUCUAACAUAGCUCUCUACAUUUCGAGCCUGGGUAAGGUUCUUCGCGUUGCAUCGAAUUAAACCACAUGCUCCACUGCUUGUGCGGGCCCCCGUCAAUUCUUUUGAGUUUUACUCUUGCGAGCGUACUCCCCAGGCGGCAUACUUAACGCGUUAGCUACGGCACAAUCAGGGUUGAAUCUGACUACACCUAGUAUGCAUCGUUUACGGCGUGGACUAC